rnacentral:lncRNA from 1 species
ACUUGAGUGACUUUGUAGGGUGGGAAACCAGGAUGACAUACUUGCUAUUGUGUGUACUACCGGAGGCAUGUAAUAAACGAUAAUAUCUGAAAUUACAAUAUGUGGUCAAUAACUAUUGAAUACAGAUGGCACUGUGACAUCAGGAAUAAUAUAAAAUAUCUUCAUAUUUGAGAUUGUGAAGAAAAAUUACCAUUUGGAGUCAGAAAAUCUGGAUUUUAGCUGUGUGGCUCGGAAAAGUGCCUUAUUUCUCAGCUGGAGAGGGUCUCCACAGCAGAACACUGCGGCUGGAGGUGAGGAAGGAGUGGCGUAA